CUUACCAAGGCAACGAUGCAUAGCCGACCUGAGAGGGUGAUCGGCCACACUGGAACUGAGACACGGUCCAGACUCCUACGGGAGGCAGCAGUAGGGAAUCUUCCGCAAUGGGCGAAAGCCUGACGGAGCAACGCCGCGUGAGUGAUGAAGGUCUUCGGAUCGUAAAACUCUGUUAUUAGGGAAGAACAUAUGUGUAAGUAACUGUGCACAUCUUGACGGUACCUAAUCAGAAAGCCACGGCUAACUACGUGCCAGCAGCCGCGGUAAUACGUAGGUGGCAAGCGUUAUCCGGAAUUAUUGGGCGUAAAGCGCGCGUAGGCGGUUUUUUAAGUCUGAUGUGAAAGCCCACGGCUCAACCGUGGAGGGUCAUUGGAAACUGGAAAACUUGAGUGCAGAAGAGGAAAGUGGAAUUCCAUGUGUAGCGGUGAAAUGCGCAGAGAUAUGGAGGAACACCAGUGGCGAAGGCGACUUUCUGGUCUGUAACUGACGCUGAUGUGCGAAAGCGUGGGGAUCAAACAGGAUUAGAUACCCUGGUAGUCCACGCCGUAAACGAUGAGU
rnacentral:rRNA from 1 species